rnacentral:tRNA from 2 species
GGGUCGGUCGCCAAGUGGAAAGGCCCCCGUCUGAUACGCGGGGAAGCGCGGGUUCGAUUCCCGCCCGACCCA